UUGCAACUUCGCAGUAAGUUCAUACUUCUAGUUCUAGAUACUCACACUGCACUGAACUCUGAAUUCUAUAAAUACACACACCAAGUGUAUGGCAUGUGGAUCACACCACAAAGAACAAUAAUGCGGAAAAUUGAAUUGCAGAGGUUUAGGAUGUUUUGUCGCAGGAGAAAUAGCACCAGAUUAAUACAUAGAACAUAAAAUGAAUAUGUUCGUAUGGUCGGCGCUAUUCUCCUGCGACAUGAUAUCCUUUAACCUCUAACCACAAUCAUUGAUGUGAUCUUUUUAUCUUCACACGAACAUAUAUAAAUGAGUUCAUUAAUAAACUAGCCCGGUUACGAGACACCGACUCGACGGAUCCACCAACCCGAACUAGGAGGCGACUCGCACAUCACCUCCCAUUCCACAAGAAACCUGGACAGCUAGCGGAAGCUUCCAGGCACACGUGGGAUUUCACAAAGGAUUCACUCGAGUACGGAGUAUAAAUUGGGAGGGACCUAUUCAUCUAUAGAGGUACGUCACUUUAUCCUAAUUAGCCGCUUUAUCGUACGAACAUUGACUUGAGCGUUGGAAUCCUUGCAGGUGGCCCCAUCCCGUCAGUGCCUGGCCAACUCAGACGAACGCCUUCCUCCAGGAGUCCACAUCCAGGUCGAGCAACCCUCUCACACUCUGUUGCUCUAGCAUCAGCCUCACCCAACUCACUAAACACCCAAGCAACCCAACAGUUAUGUAGUC